rnacentral:lncRNA from 1 species
CAGGAGAUAAGGGAAAUUAGGGUUGCAAUUGAAUAUAUUUUCCACGCAAUUGAAUUGGGGGCCAAUAUCAUCUCUACGCACGAAAGUCGGAGCCGGGAGUUUUUUUUCUGGGGUCAAUUUUGGUGGAUGUUAUUAUUUUAUUUACACGUAAAAACACUUACUGAGGAGGGAGAAAAAGGGACGGUCAAUAUUUUUAUAUUGGACAGACACUUUGGUCGAGGGCUACUGCCAUUAAUAGAGAGAUAUAAGAAAUUGCGGCUGUUUGGGGAAUUAAAGAGGGAUUGCCGGCUGCUGAUCUUAAAAUCGAGAGAGAAAACACGUGCAGAAAAGAGGCAAAGGCAGUGGAGGCUAGAGCAAAAAUUGGGGAUUAUUUCUGCCAAUUAUCGGUGAUGAAUUUCUUGUUUUUCUCUCAUUAAUAUGCUUAGUUAAAUUUAUUUUUAGGACGAACAAUGUAAUUGAUUUGAGACUUUUAUUUCUUUUAUUUGAGAUUCUUGUUCUUUUAUAAUUUAUGUGUGAAUUUGAAUUAUGUUUUUAAUGUUUUGAAUUUUCU